GAACGCUGGCGGCAGGCCUAACGCAUGCAAGUCGAACGGGAAGCCAUCCUUCGGGGUGGUGGAGAGUGGCGCACGGGUGAGUAACGCGUGGGAACCUACCUUUUGGUACGGAACAACCAAUGGAAACGUUGGCUAAUACCGUAUACGUCCUUUUGGGUGAGAGCUCUUAAGGAGAAAGAUUUAUCGCCGAGAGAUGGGCCCGCGUCCGAUUAGUUAGUUGGUGGGGUAACGGCCUACCAAGGCUGCGAUCGGUAGCUGGUCUGAGAGGAUGAUCAGCCACACUGGGACUGAGACACGGCCCAGACUCCUACGGGAGGCAGCAGUGGGGAAUAUUGGACAAUGGGCGCAAGCCUGAUCCAGCCAUGCCGCGUGAGUGAAGAAGGCCCUAGGGUUGUAAAGCUCUUUCACCCGCGAAGAUGAUGACGGUAGCGGGAGAAGAAGCCCCGGCUAACUCCGUGCCAGCAGCCGCGGUAAUACGGAGGGGGCAAGCGUUGUUCGGAAUUACUGGGCGUAAAGGGCGCGUAGGCGGUCUGUUGCGUCAGGUGUGAAAGCCCCGGGCUCAACCUGGGAGGUGCACUUGAUACGGGCAGGCUAGAAUCCGGGAGAGGAUGGUGGAAUUCCCAGUGUAGAGGUGAAAUUCGUAGAUAUUGGGAAGAACACCGAUGGCGAAGGCAGCCAUCUGGACCGUAUUGACGCUGAGGCGCGAAAGCGUGGGGGAGC
rnacentral:rRNA from 1 species